rnacentral:rRNA from 1 species
GAUGAACGCUGGCGGCGUGCCUAAUACAUGCAAGUCGAGCGAACAGAUAAGGAGCUUGCUCCUUUGACGUUAGCGGCGGACGGGUGAGUAACACGUGGAUAACCUACCUAUAAGACUGGGAUAACUUCGGGAAACCGGAGCUAAUACCGGAUAACAUAUUGAACCGCAUGGUUCAAUAGUGAAAGGCGGCUUUGCUGUCACUUAUAGAUGGAUCCGCGCCGUAUUAGCUGGUUGGUAAGGUAACGGCUUACCAAGGCAACGAUACGUAGCCGACCUGAGAGGGUGAUCGGCCACACUGGAACUGAGACACGGUCCAGACUCCUACGGGAGGCAGCAGUAGGGAAUCUUCCGCAAUGGGCGAAAGCCUGACGGAGCAACGCCGCGUGAGUGAUGAAGGUCUUCGGAUCGUAAAACUCUGUUAUCAGGGAAGAACAAAUGUGUAAGUAACUGUGCACAUCUUGACGGUACCUGAUCAGAAAGCCACGGCUAACUACGUG